rnacentral:rRNA from 1 species
UACGUAGGUCCCGAGCGUUGUCCGGAUUUAUUGGGCGUAAAGCGAGCGCAGGUGGUUUAUUAAGUCUGGUGUAAAAGGCAGUGGCUCAACCAUUGUAUGCAUUGGAAACUGGUAGACUUGAGUGCAGGAGAGGAGAGUGGAAUUCCAUGUGUAGCGAUGAAAUGCGUAGAUAUUAGGAGGAACACCAGUGGCGAAGGCGGCUUACUGGACUGUAACUGACGUUGAGGCUCGAAAGCGUGGGGAGCAAACAGG